rnacentral:rRNA from 1 species
GACGUAGGGGACGAGCGUUGUCCGGAUUCAUUGGGCGUAAAGCGCGCGUAGGCGGUUCGGUAAGUCGGGUGUGAAAACCCGAGGCUCAACCUCGUGCGUGCAUCCGAUACUGCCGGACUAGAGGUAGGUAGGGGAGAUCGGAAUUCCUGGUGUAGCGGUGAAAUGCGCAGAUAUCAGGAGGAACACCGGUGGCGAAGGCGGAUCUCUGGGCCUUACCUGACGCUCAGGCGCGAAAGCUAGGGGAGCGAACAGG